rnacentral:rRNA from 1 species
GACGAACGCUGGCGGCGUGCUUAACACAUGCAAGUCGAACGGAAAGGCCCUGCUUUUGUGCGGUGCUCGAGUGGCGAAGGCGUGAGUAACACGUGAGUAACCUGCCCUUGUCUUUGGGAGAACUUCAGGAAACUGGGGCUAAUACAGGAUAGGAGCUCCUGCUGCAGGGUGGGGGGUGGAAAGUUUCGGCUGUUGGGGAUGGACUGGCGGCUUAUCAGCUUGUUGGUGGGGUAGUGGCUGACCAAGGCUUUGACGGGUAGCCGGCCUGAGAGGGUGGACGGCGACCAUGGUCCUGCGGGAGGGACCAGACUGGUACGGUAGGCAGCAGGGGGAAGCAUUGCACAAUGGGCCCGCGUCUGUUACGACGGCGCCGCGUUCGUGAUGACGGCCUUCGGGUUAUGAACCGCUUUCGCCUGAGACGACGCGUUAGUGACGGUAACGGGUAAAUAAGCACCGGCUAACUACGUG